rnacentral:pre_miRNA from 1 species
GUAGUACUCCCUCCGUCCGAAAAUACUUGUCAUUGAAAUGGAUGUAUCUAGAUGUAUUUUAGUUUUAGAUACAUCCAUUUUCAUCCAUUUUGAUGACAAGUAUUUCAGGACGGAGGGAGUACCUA